UAUGCCUUCAUGGCGUAGUGCUUAAUUAGUUAAGCACAGGGACAACAUUUCCAUAUAUACUACGCCAUGAAUGGCCAUGAAGUCAUGCAGGCAUAUGGUGUUGUGAAUGUAUAGACCGUAUAGACCGGUAUAUAAUACGGGAAUGCGCACAAUGUGCAUAGAGUCUAACAUAUAGGAGCCACAUGGAUACACAACAAAGGCGUAUAUUACUUUUGUCUACCUCUGUAGUGUAUGGUUCCGAGUAUCUUCAUUAUGCAACGGAUGACAUAAAUAAGUUUUUGAAAAAGUACAAUGUUUCACGUAUCCUGUUUGUACCAUAUGCAUUAAAUGAUUACAAUGAAUACGCAAAUAAAGUUACAGGUGCCUUCGAGAAGUGGGGUUACAAAGUAAACAGUAUCCACACCUCAGAAGAUCCUGUUCAGGCUGUUGAAGAAGCAGAAGCAUUUUUUGUGGGUGGUGGUAACACAUUCCAACUCCUGAAGGCAUUGUAUGACUUUAAGAUAAUUGAUCCUAUCAAAAAGCGUGUGCUAGAGGAAGGUAUACCAUACAUUGGAAGCAGCGCAGGCUCUAAUGUGGCAACUGUCAGUAUUUGUACAACAAAUGAUAUGCCUAUUGUACAUCCACCCAGCUUCACAGCUCUUGGGCUUAUUCCUUUCAACAUCAACCCUCACUAUUUGGAUGACAAUCCUACAACACAUAUGGGACUACCCUCCAUAUCUGGAGGCCAUUUCCUCCAUCGACAACCUGAGGACAUGCCAUGCCAUGCCAUGGUGACAAGGGACCUACCUAAUGUGGGUGUGAUGGGAUGUUGGAUAAAACUACAUAAUGAGGAGCUUCAUAGCUUGUACUCUUCACCAAGUAUAAUUAGAAUGAUCAAGUCAAGGAAGAUGACAUGGGCAGAUCUUGUGGCACGAAAUUGAGUGAAGAAGAAUGCAUAUAGGAUUUUGGUGGGAAAGCCAGAAGGAAGGAGAUCACUAGGAAGACCAAGACAUAGGGGAAAGAAUCCUGAGGAGUAUGAAGCAGGGUCAGAUCUUAGUUUUCUGCUGAAAGCUGUGUGACAAGUUAACACAUUCUAAUUUUU